rnacentral:rRNA from 1 species
GACGAACGCUGGCGGCGUGCUUAACACAUGCCAGUCGAACGGAAAGGCCCUGCUUUUGUGGGGUGCUCGAGUGGCGAACGGGUGAGUAACACGUGAGUAACCUGCCCUUGACUUUGGGAUAACUUCAGGAAACUGGGGCUAAUACCGGAUAGGAGCUCCUGCUGCACAGUGGGGGUUGGAAAGUUUCGGCGGUUGGGGAUGGACUCGCGGCUUAUCAGCUUGUUGGUGGGGUAGUGGCUUACCAAGGCUUUGACGGGUAGCCGGCCUGAGAGGGUGACCGGCCACAUUGGGACUGAGAUACGGCCCAGACUCCUACGGGAGGCAGCAGUGGGGAAUAUUGCACAAUGGGCGGAAGCCUGAUGCAGCAACGCCGCGUGCGGGAUGACGGCCUUCGGGUUGUAAACCGCUUUCGCCUGUGACGAAGCGUGAGUGACGGUAAUGGGUAAAGAAGCACCGGCUAACUACGUG